rnacentral:rRNA from 1 species
AGUGAACGCUGGCGGUAGGCCUAACACAUGCAAGUCGAACGGCAGCACAGUAAGAGCUUGCUCUUACGGGUGGCGAGUGGCGGACGGGUGAGGAAUGCAUCGGAAUCUACUUUUUCGUGGGGGAUAACGUAGGGAAACUUACGCUAAUACCGCAUACGACCUACGGGUGAAAGCAGGGGAUCUUCGGACCUUGCGCGAUUGAAUGAGCCGAUGUCGGAUUAGCUAGUUGGCGGGGUAAAGGCCCACCAAGGCGACGAUCCGUAGCUGGUCUGAGAGGAUGAUCGGCCACACUGGAACUGAGACACGGUCCAGACUCCUACGGGAGGCAGCAGUGGGGAAUAUUGGACAAUGGGCGCAAGCCUGAUCCAGCCAUACCGCGUGGGUGAAGAAGGCCUUCGGGUUGUAAAGCCCUUUUGUUGGGAAAGAAAAGCAGCAGGUUAAUACCCCGCUGUUCUGACGGUACCCAAAGAAUAAGCACCGGCUAACUUCGUG